CAAAGGAGCAAUCCGCUGAAAGAUGGGCUCGCGUCCGAUUAGGUAGUUGGCGGGGCAACGGCCCACCAAGCCGACGAUCGGUAGCCGGACUGAGAGGUUGAACGGCCACAUUGGGACUGAGACACGGCCCAGACUCCUACGGGAGGCAGCAGUGAGGGAUAUUGGUCAAUGGGGGAAACCCUGAACCAGCAACGCCGCGUGAGGGAAGACGGUUUUCGGAUUGUAAACCUCUGUCCCCUGUGAAGAUGAUGACGGUAGCAGAGGAGGAAGCUCCGGCUAACUACGUGCCAGCAGCCGCGGUAAUACGUAGGGAGCAAGCGUUGUCCGGAUUUACUGGGUGUAAAGGGUGCGUAGGCGGCUUUGCAAGUCAGAAGUGAAAUCCAUGGGCUUAACCCAUGAACUGCUUUUGAAACUGCAGAGCUUGAGUGGAGUAGAGGUAGGCGGAAUUCCCGGUGUAGCGGUGAAAUGCGUAGAGAUCGGGAGGAACACCAGUGGCGAAGGCGGCCUGCUGGGCUCUAACUGACGCUGAGGCACGAAAGCGUGGGUAGCAAACAGGAUUAGAUACCCUGGUAGUCCACGCUGUAAACGAUGAUUACUAGGUGUGGGUGGACUGACCCCAUCC
rnacentral:rRNA from 1 species